rnacentral:rRNA from 1 species
CCUACGGGAGGCAGCAGUGGGGGAUAUUGCACAAUGGGGGGAACCCUGAUGCAGCGACGCCGCGUGGGUGAAGAAGCGCCUCGGCGCGUAAAGCCCUGUCAGCAGGGAAGAAAAUGACGGUACCUGAAGAAGAAGCCCCGGCUAACUACGUGCCAGCAGCCGCGGUAAUACGUAGGGGGCAAGCGUUAUCCGGAUUUACUGGGUGUAAAGGGGGCGCAGACGGCGAUGCAAGCCAGGAGUGAAAGCCCGGGGCCCAACCCCGGGACUGCUGUUGGAACUGCGUGGCUGGAGUGCAGGAGGGGGAGGCGGAAUGCCUGGUGUAGGGGGGAAAUGCGGAGAUAUAAGGAGGAACACCGGUGGCGAAGGCGGCCUGAUGGAGUGCAAAUGACGUUGAGGCCCGAAAGCGUGGGGAGCAAACAGGAUUAGAUACCCGAGGAGUC